rnacentral:rRNA from 1 species
UACGUAGGUGGCGAGCGUUGUCCGGAUUUACUGGGUGUAAAGGGCGUGUAGGCGGGUUCGUAAGUCAGAUGUGAAAUUCCGAGGCUUAACCUCGGCGCUGCAUCUGAAACUAUGAAUCUUGAGUGAUGGAGAGGAAAGCGGAAUUCCUAGUGUAGCGGUGAAAUGCGUAGAUAUUAGGAGGAACACCAGUGGCGAAGGCGGCUUUCUGGACAUUAACUGACGCUGAGGCGCGAAAGCGUGGGGAGCAAACAGG